AUUCACUCAGCAGCCCAAGCCCGGCCAGGCAGCGCGCGCUGCUCCUUGGGGGCGCCCUCGCAGCUGGGGUGAGGGCGGGUCCGAGGGAGCGUCCCUCUCGGAGACACCCUCCUCUUCAACCCAACACGCGCUCUCAGCUGGCCGGUGUGGCACAACCCUCCCCCCACCUCCCCUUCUUGGCCUUCGCCAGUGUGGGAGCCUCGUCUCACUGGAGAGUCCGUUCAGGUGGAAGAGAAGCUUCCCAUGCCUGGUUUAUGAAUAUGGCCUUGAAAAUGUCAACAGAUGUAUUGUCUUGUUGAGUCUGCAGCCAGGAAAGCAGAAAUCAAUGGCAGCAAAGCAGGUGUGAAUGUCCCCCGACUUCAGAGGCAGUUCACUUUGAAGCUGGAAAAUCAAGGACGCUGGUACCUUCAAGGAAACAAGAAUAUAAUUAUCACAACACCCAAUUUGCCAGUGACCUUCCAUUCCUCAGGCCUGCCCUACUCCCUUCGCUGGCACCAACCCAGGUCCUCACAGACUGAACUCUGUGUCCCAGGCUGCUCAGAUGGAGGAGCAACCCACUCAAGCACCCUUUGAAAUUAUUCUUAAUCUCUUUCUACUACACUGCUUUCACUGACAUAAAUCCGCCAGCCCAAGGGGCCUCAGACCCCUCCACGGAGGGAGGCCCAUUCAGGCCAAGUGGAGUCAGAGCAGCUAAGCUGCAGAAUUUAUGCUUCCUCUCACCUGCGCCGUCUGUCUAUGGCCUCAGCUCUGGUCUGUUUUUGAAGGUUUGAGCAUAACCCUGCAGCUUCUUGCCAAGUUGGCCAUCAUCACCUCUGUCAUAGAAGCAGAUUUCGCAAGGCCAUUGGAAGCUAAUAACAGCGACUUUUAACUUCAUUAUUGUAUUUGAAACGUUGAAAGCAGAAGCCUAAUAAAAAUGAGUUCAGGAAAAAAA
rnacentral:lncRNA from 1 species